AGGGUCAGGAAAAGCCGAGAUACGACAGGACAGUUUCGCUGCGCUUCCCUCGAUCAGUACAACGUCCUGCAGCGGCUGUAGGACUCGGGGUGGCCCCUUCUCCUUCAACUCUUUCCGGGACCUGUUCCCAGUUCGGGCCUUACAUCUGUGACCUUAUGGUCAUACAUCUAGAGCCGAGAGGAACCUGAGACCAUCUGGUCCAAACCCUUCAUUUUUAGGGCAGAAUGAUCAAGGCUGAGGAUGAAGCACAGAUGACAAAACUGAGACUAUCAAAUGUCCAAGACUCCACGUCCAAGACCCAGCUCUUUCCAGGUUCCAAAUCCAGCACCGUCAUCACCCUACCGCAUCGCACAUGGAGGAAGAUUCCAAAGCGGGGUGCCAGCAUACGUGAGAGGGACGCUGUGCUAUGAAUGAUGAAUGCUCAGAGAAGAGAAUGCUCACUGAUGGAAAAGAGGAACAAUUCCCUGGGAUGAGAGGGAGAGCUGAGCUGGUAGGGAUCCAACCUUCCCCCUUAAGAGCCAGGCUGGGACCAGUGUUAGGGAGGUUUAAUUGGACCCAGCUGGUGCUAGCCUAGCCUGGCCCUGUGAAUAGGAAGGGGCUAGAAAAGGCAUCAGCCUGGAAACAAAGAGGAGCACAGUGACAGGGAGGGAGAAAAGAGGGGGGAGCAAGCAUCUCCCAUGUGCCAGGCACUGUGCUAAGCACUUCAUAAAUAUCAUCUCAUUUGACCCUCAGGACAACCCUGGGAGGUAGGUGCUAUUAUUUAUCCCCACUUUACCACUGAGAAAACUGAGGCAGACUGAGAUUCAUUGACCUGCCCAGGCUGGGGCUGAGUCUUCCUCCAUUAAAGCCCAGAUCACAUCCAACUAGCUGCUUCCAGGCAUCUGCCUCUAAAAGAGAGCCAAGUCUGGGGCCAACACCUGGAUUCCACACCCAGCUUUGCCUGGGGGACUUGAGGCAAAUCACUUAAUCUUCCCUGGGCAAGGCUUUUGGAAGUGAAAGGUGGUGAUGGGAUUGGAAGAUUCUGGAGAUCAAUAGUUCUUAGCCCUAAACUCCAGGAUCCCAGGGCAUGAUGGGAUCUUCCUAUGACUCCGAUGCUCCAGAAUGGGCUAGCAGCAAAGUGGCGCUGCUCGUUGAUAUCUAAAUUCAGGGCCUAGCAGGACAAGUGUUCGAUUUUUUGUUUUUGCAUCCUUACUUGCUCUCUUAGAAUCUAUACUAGGAGUUGGUUCCAAGGCAGAAGAGCUUUAAGGGCCAGGCAAUGGAGCUUGCUCAACGUCACACAACUAGGAAGUAUGUGAGGCAGGAUUCAUUUUUUUUUAAACUCUUACCUUUUGUUAAAAUCAAUACUGUGUUUUGGUUCCAAAGCAGAAGAGCUUUAAGGGCUGGGCAAUGGGGGUGACGUGACUUGCCCAGGGUCACACAGCUGGGAAGUGUCUGAGGCCACCCAUCUCUAGGUCUUUCUCUCAAUCCAAUGAGCCACCUAGCUGCCCCCAACUAUCCUAUUUUCCAUAAGUCUGGUUUAUCUCUUAGUUGCUAGUUAAGUCCUCUUCCUCUGGCCCCCCAAACCCUACCAUCUGUCUUUAACAAGAUACUGGGAAAGGAAAUGGGUAUCCAUUUCAGGAAUGCACUCAAAGCAACCCAGCAGAGGUCAAAGAAAUGGCGCAUCCAACAGUUUGGAUGGGUAAGUGGGAAGGGGUGCUGGGGGAGACAACCACUAACUGUUGAGUGCAAUAGAAAAAGAAGCCCCCCAGCUUUCAGAAUGGUACCCUCCUGCCCAGAGACCUCUUUGGUCACCUCCACCUAUGGAAUGACAAGUGAGAAAAGGGUGAGCGGGCUGGGUGGUCACUUCAUCAUGUGAUUUGAGAAGGGCUGGAAAAGUUCACCAUCCAAAAAUAUCUCCUCCCACCUCCCCCUCCCAACCUCGGGGCUGAGACUCUACAAAUAGAGACUCAUUCUUUUAGCUUAAGCAUCACCUUUUCCCUCUUUUAAAAGCAAAUGGCCAGGGUGGCCUGAAAGCCCUGACAAAGAGAAUUGGGGCUAACCACAACAAAAGGCCUGGCCUGGCAGAAAGAGCCUGGGUGGGGACCAGAAAAGGAGCUGGGGGUGGAGGGAACCUGGGAAAGAGGAGAAUGAAGAUGGGAGUUUCUCAAAAGGCCAGCCCUGGUGUCUGGGGGGACCCCUGGAAGCCCUGGGAUCUCUCCUAGCUUUGCUACCAUCACCAAAGAGUUCUCUCAGCUUGAAAACUUUCAUUCCAUUCCUUAGGAAUUUGGCCUAGGGGAUCCCUAAAGUCCCAGAAUUCCAGCUCCAAUUUAGAUAAUUCUGCUGCCUAGGGCUAGAGGGUAAGGAGAGCAGGAAUGUGAACUAGGAAUGCUAGGGAUCGGUCAUUAAAAGGGGUAGGAAUGGAGGCUCUAGGGCUAAGAGAGCCAGGAAUGUGUUAGAGACCUGGAAAAUCUGAGGGUUGCAUUCUCUCUAAAUUAGGCAUAGUUCCCCGAAGUCCUUCAAGUAUCUGGAAUCCGUCUGGGUGAGAGGGGAGUGACCAGAAACAAAUCCAAGCAUGGCGCCCCUGGGGCCAUAUCGAAUAAAUCAGUUCAACUGUCCAGCCCCAAGCACAUGGCCUGCCAAGAUGCCCCUCCAUCCUCAGUCCCUAGAAUGCUUUCCCACCCUCCAAACCAAGGAAGGGAGUGUAGGCUCCAUCACUGACCUACCUGACUC